AGGAUGAACGCUGGCGGCGUGCCUAAUACAUGCAAGUCGAGCGAACAGACGAGGAGCUUGCUCCUCUGACGUUAGCGGCGGACGGGUGAGUAACACGUGGGUAACCUACCUAUAAGACUGGGAUAACUUCGGGAAACCGGAGCUAAUACCGGAUAAUAUUUCGAACCGCAUGGUUCGAUAGUGAAAGAUGGCCUUGCUAUCACUUAUAGAUGGACCUGCGCCGUAUUAGCUAGUUGGUAAGGUAACGGCUUACCAAGGCAACGAUACGUAGCCGACCUGAGAGGGUGAUCGGCCACACUGGAACUGAGACACGGUCCAGACUCCUACGGGAGGCAGCAGUAGGGAAUCUUCCGCAAUGGGCGAAAGCCUGACGGAGCAACGCCGCGUGAGUGAUGAAGGUCUUCGGAUCGUAAAACUCUGUUAUUAGGAAGAACAUACGUGUAAGUAACUGUGCACGUCUUGACGGUACCUAAUCAGAAAGCCACGGCUAACUACGUGCCAGCACG
rnacentral:rRNA from 1 species